rnacentral:rRNA from 1 species
UACGUAGGGUGCGAGCGUUAAUCGGAAUUACUGGGCGUAAAGCGUGCGCAGGCGGCGCGUUAAGACAGGUGUGAAAGCCCCGAGCUUAACUUGGGAAUUGCGCUUGUGACUGGCGUGCUGGAGUGUGGCAGAGGGAGGUGGAAUUCCACGUGUAGCAGUGAAAUGCGUAGAGAUGUGGAGGAACACCGAUGGCGAAGGCAGCCUCCUGGGCCAGCACUGACGCUCAUGCACGAAAGCGUGGGGAGUAAACAGG